ensembl:rRNA 5S_rRNA 5S ribosomal RNA
GCCUAUAACUAUACUAUCCUGAAUGUGUUUGAGUGUCUGAUCUCAUCUGGCCUUGUCAAAGCUAAGCCAGGGUUGAGCCUGGUUAUUACUGGGAUGGGAAGCUUCCUGGGAAUACUGUGUGCUGUAGGCU